GACGAACGCUGGCGGCGUGCUUAACACAUGCAAGUCGAACGGAAAGGCCCUGCUUUUGUGGGGUGCUCGAGUGGCGAACGGGUGAGUAACACGUGAGUAACCUGCCCUUGACUUUGGGAUAACUUCAGGAAACUGGGGCUAAUACCGGAUAGGAGCUCCUGCUGCAUGGUGGGGGUUGGAAAUUUUCGGCGGUUGGGGAUGGACUCGCGGCUUAUCAGCUUGUUGGUGGGGUAGGGGCUUACCAAGGCUUUGACGGGUAGGCGGCCCGAGAGGGUGACCGGCCACAUUGGGACUGAGAUACGGCCCAGACUUCUACGGGAGGCAGCAGUGGGGAAUAUUGCCCAAUGGGAGGAAGUCUGAUGCAGAAACGCCGCGUGCGGGAUGACGGCCUUCGGGUUGUAAACCGCUUUCGCCUGUGACGAAGCGUGAGUGACGGUAAUGGGUAAAGAAGCACCGGCUAACUACGUG
rnacentral:rRNA from 1 species